rnacentral:sRNA from 1 species
UUAAAAGAAAGUUGAAA